rnacentral:misc_RNA from 1 species
GGAAGUAAAAUCGUAACAAGGUCUCCGUUGGUGAACCAGCGGAGGGAUCAUUAUCGAGUUUAUAACUCCCAAACCCUAUGUGAACUUACCACUUGUUGCUUCGGCGCGCGCUUCGGUGCCGCCGAGGACACUUAAACUCUUUGUUUUUAUAAGCAUUUCUGAGUGGCCGAAAGGCAAAAUACAAAUGAAUCAAAACUUUCAACAACGGAUCUCUUGUUUCUG